GGACAUGGCUCAGUUGGUAGAGCACAACCUUGCCAAGGUUGAGGUCGCGGGUUCGAGCCCCGUUGUCCG
rnacentral:tRNA from 1 species